AUUGAACGCUGGCGGCAGGCUUAACACAUGCAAGUCGAGCGGAGACGAGGUGCUUGCACCUUAUCUUAGCGGCGGACGGGUGAGUAAUGCUUAGGAAUCUGCCUAUUAGUGGGGGACAACAUUCCGAAAGGAAUGCUAAUACCGCAUACGUCCUACGGGAGAAAGCAGGGGACCUUCGGGCCUUGCGCUAAUGGAUGAGCCUAAGUCGGAUUAGCUAGUUGGUGGGGUAAAGGCCUACCAAGGCGACGAUCUGUAGCGGGUCUGAGAGGAUGAUCCGCCACACUGGGACUGAGACACGGCCCAGACUCCUACGGGAGGCAGCAGUGGGGAAUAUUGGACAAUGGGCGGAAGCCUGAUCCAGCCAUGCCGCGUGUGUGAAGAAGGCCUUUUGGUUGUAAAGCACUUUAAGCGAGGAGGAGGCUACUAGUACUAAUACUACUGGAUAGUGGACGUUACUCGCGGAAUAAGCACCGGCUAACUCUGUGCCAGCAGCCGCGGUAAAAC
rnacentral:rRNA from 1 species